rnacentral:rRNA from 1 species
GAUGAACGCUGGCGGCGUGCCUAAUACAUGCAAGUCGAGCGAACAGACGAGAGUGCUUGCACUCUCUGACGUUAGCGUCGGACGGGUGAGUAACACGUGGGUAACCUACCUAUAAGACUGGGAUAACUUCGGGAAGCCUGAGCUAAUACCGGAUAAUAUUUAGCUUCUCAUGAAGCAAUAGUGAAAGACUGUUCUGCUGUCACUUAUAGAUGGACCCGCGGUGUAUUAGCUAGUUGGUGAGGUAACGGCUCACCAAGUCAACGAUACAUAGCCGACCUGAGAGGGUGAUCGGCCACACUGGGACUGAGACACGGCCCAGACUCCUACGGGAGGCAGCAGUAGGGAAUCUUCCGCAAUGGACGAAAGUCUGACGGAGCAAUGCCGCGUGAGUGAAGAAGGUUUUCGGAUCGUAAAACUCUGUUGUAAGGGAAGAACAAGUACGUUAGUAACUGAACGUACCUUGACGGUACCUUACCAGAAAGCAACGGCUAACUACGUG